rnacentral:rRNA from 1 species
AUUGAACGCUGGCGGCAGGCCUAACACAUGCAAGUCGAACGAGUGGCGGACGGGUGAGUAAUGUCUGGGAAACUGCCUGAUGGAGGGGGAUAACUACUGGAAACGGUAGCUAAUACCGCAUACCAUCGGAUGUGCCCAGAUGGGAUUAGCUAGUAGGGGGGGUAAAGGCUCACCUAGGCGACGAUCCCUAGCUGGUCUGAGAGGAUGACCAUCCUCCCUGGAACUGAGACACGGUCCAGACUCCUUCUAUACCCACCAUUUCACAAUAUUACACAAUGCACGCAAGCCUGAUACAGCCAUGCCGCGUGUAUGAAGAAUUCCUUCGGGUUUUAACGUACUUUCAGCGGGGAGGCGUUACCCGCAGAAGAAGCACCGGCUAACUCCGUGCCAGCAGCCGCGGUAAUAC